rnacentral:rRNA from 1 species
GACGAACGCUGGCGGCGUGCUUAACACAUGCAAGUCGAACGGAAAGGCCUCUUUCGGGGGGUACUCGAGUGGCGAACGGGUGAGUAACACGUGAGUAACCUGCCCUUGACUUUGGGAUAACUUCAGGAAACUGGGGCUAAUACCGGAUAGGAGCUCCUGCUGCAUGGUGGGGGUUGGAAAGUUUCGGCGGUUGGGGAUGGACUCGCGGCUUAUCAGCUUGUUGGUGGGGUAGUGGCUUACCAAGGCUUUGACGGGUAGCCGGCCUGAGAGGGUGACCGGCCACAUUGGGACUGAGAUACGGCCCAGACUCCUACGGGAGGCAGCAGUGGGGAAUAUUGCACAUGGGUGGAAGCCUGAUGCAGCAACGCCGUGUGCGGGAUGACGGCCUUCGGGUUGUAAACCGCUUUCGCUCAUGACGAAGCUUUGUGUGACGGUAGUGGGUAAAGAAGCACCGGCUAACUACGUG